rnacentral:rRNA from 1 species
UUGACCUCGGAUCAGGUAGGGAUACCCGCUGAACUUAAGCAUAUAUAGACGGGGAAAGAAAAAAGG